UACAGAGGUCUCGAGCGUUGUUCGGAUUAAUUGGGCGUAAAGGGUGCGCAGGUGGUGGGGUAAGUCGGAUGUGAAAUCCCGGGGCUCAACCCUGGAACUGCAUUCGAUACUGCCUUACUUGAGUACUGGAGAGGAGAUUGGAAUUUACGGUGUAGCAGUGAAAUGCGUAGAGAUCGUGAGGAAGACCAGUGGCGAAGGCGGGUCUCUGGACAGUUCCUGA
rnacentral:rRNA from 1 species